CAGACAAACCCAGACAACCCUUCCUACUUCCCCGUCAUCUCCUUCGCUUCUCCUGUCUGAAACCCUCGCCCCAGACCACAAAUGGAAACCAUGCCAAUUCUUUCACCCAAACACCAAAUCAAACCUACGCUUGAAGCAAAGUUGACUAAAAUUCACCGAGAUUCGUUCAUUUCUACCGAUUAAAACCACUACACAGAUGAAUCCAAGGCUUCGACAACAAACAGUUCGCGGUAGAAAUAGAGUACGUCUUCAAUCGUAGAUUAUGAAAGAUACCACCCCUCAGACUACUUCAACAAUGCGAUGCAAUUGAGGAACUCUACACACCAAAUAAUGACAUACAACAAUGAGGAGCCAAUGUGGGGAAGAGAAAAGCAAAGUAGUUGAACUGAGAGGUAAACUUCCACUGAAUUGCAAAAUAUAUCAUAUAUGCAUAACAUAGGAUCAGUCCAGAUACAAUAUAGCCUAGUUAAAUAGCUGCACAAUGCAGAUAUCCUAGGCACAGAUUUUAGAGUAAUUUAAAACAACACAUAGUAGUAGAAUAAGCACAUGAAACCUUACACCCAGUAAAAACAAACAAACUAAACAUGUUCUUCCAACAGACACCUCUUAACAGAAUGUGGUAUAGCAUUCUGUAAACCAUUUUCAGAUUCCUGCCUUAACGGAACAUCAGCCAAAUCAUCUCCACCAUUUCCAGGCAGACCCUCAUUCACCUCAACUACAUCUUCAUAAUCAUCCCCCAAAUUCACUACAUCAUGCCCAGCAAAGAAAUCCUAAAAAGAAACAAAGAAAGUGACCAUUUUAGCUUCAAUAUGACUAUCUGUGUAGUUUAAGUAAAAAAAAAAGAAGAGAAAAGUGGCGUUCUACCUCAUCUGUAUUCAUAACACUGCCCUCAUCACCCAUUAAUGGUGAACCAAGUCCAACAACACCGUCACCCUCAAGAUCACCACAAAAUUUAGCUAUAGCAUCACAGUAAAAGGGACUUGCAGACUAUAAACCUGCUGCUUCUUCAUCUUAAUCUUCAAGAGCAUUUUCCUGUUUGUAAGAGGCAGCAACUCAAGAGGAAUACCCUCAUAUUCCUAGCAUUUUAAGAACCGUAUAUAUAAGUCUCAAUUGAAUAGAAGAAAAAAAAAAUAGAACCACACUUAACACCCCAUAUUUCUUAAGUAGAUUUUCUGCUGACACACCAACCAGCUCUGCCACUUCCCUAUCCCACUAUUUAAUAUUACAGAAAGAUAUUUAAAUUAGAGUAGAAAAGAAUACCUUGAGUCUUCUAGCAAAAAGUCAAUGAGCCGAGAAGGCCUUCCAUUAAUCAAUUUAUAAGGACUUUCAGUUCAGUCAGACUCAAGGAUGAAAGCAACCCUACUUUUGUAGCUGAAGUUUAGACUCCCUUCUUUAAAGAUUCUAAAAGCCUACUCAAUGAUCUCAACACAUCUCUGUAAGUCCCCCUACUCAAUGAUCAUACAUAACUAUAUACAUGUAGGUUUGGAAAAAAAAAACAUUGUUAUGUAUCUAUUAACCAUUAUCAUUGAUCAAAAAAACACUUCUAUUUGACUUGCUUGCUUGCAACUGAAAACCUUUGAUGAUUCGUGCUUGUAAAUGCAAUCUUUAUAUGUAUUCCUUUUUCUUCUUUUUUUAAUCCCAUAAAUAAGUUAAUGUUUUUCCCAUAUUGGAAGGCAGCCCCAAAAAAAAUAAAAUUAAGGGCCAUGAAAAUUACCUGGAUCUAUCUUUGCUUUGCUUAGCUUCAAAAUGAAUAGGAUCUGAGAUGAAGAGUCAACACAAACUUGGUUUAAAAACACCAGAAACUACAAAUAGAAGUGUAUACCUUUCCUAUGUGCUCUGGCAACGACUGUGGAGUAAGUUCUUGACGUUCUCCCUGGGCAAGCUUCCUCUCCUGCGAGGCAAAAUAAGAAUAGAAAGCAAAUCAUUAAAUCCUGUAAGAUGUCUCUGGGUACAAUAUCUUUUGAUUAAUGAAGAUUAAUGAUAAUAAAAAAAAAAAGCUUACCUUUUCGUGGAAGACUACCACUUUGCUCUUAAUUUCAGAAGAGCCUUUCCGUGGAAGGAACCUCUUUGCUCUUGAAGGUAGAUAAAUUAUUGGCGAGGUAGUGCAUUCCCAUGGUCGAAAGCAAAAAUGCAAAGCAGAAAUUUGGAGAAUGAUAGUUAACCUGUAAUAUAUAGUGUGUAAUAGAUGUCUUAGAGUGAAAGAGUUCUAUAUGUAUAUUAAAUAGUUUUGAAUUCCCGGUGAGAGUGAAAGACUUCUAUAAUCUUUUCCUUGAUUCUCGAAUCGUUUUUGACGAUUCGAUUUCCUAAGUUUUGACGAUAAAUGCAUUCAUACUGCAAAGCCUGAUGUAUGACAAUGUAUUUAAUGCAAUCGAAUUCCCAAAAAAAUUAA